AGUCACAUUUCUACUUUAACAAAUAUUGGAAAGGUGUUUCCAUGCCAAUUUGCUGCACCAAACCAGAGAUAUUUAAUUAGCUCUUCUUUGCAUGUUGCUCCCUGCUGAACUCAGGAGGAUUCAGUCCUAAUAUGACAAAGAUAUACACUGCUGUGACUGAAUCUAAUAAGGGAAGCAGUCGUUUGGAAUACAGUAUUUCUGCCUUCUUGUGAUAUAUUUGUAUAAAGAUUUGAGUGAAGUAUUCACCUCUUUCAAAACUGGGGUAUAUAUAUUUCCAAUCGAAGACAAGAGCUUCGUCUUCAUGCUUUUUGUGCACCACCUGAGAGAGAAAUCCUGUGGAAAUGCAUUCUGAAGAAAACAGUUGGAUCCUGAAGAAAACAGUUGGAUUCAUUCUUGGAUCAAACUAAUGCAAAUUAGGAAAUGCUUUUAUGUGUCAUUUGGCUGGAGUGUGGGGGGCAACGCCAACUGGAGACGCUCCAACUCCCACCUUGCCAGCCGCUGGCCCUGGAAAGGUCUCACUGCUGCAGGCAGUGAGAAGGGCCCCUUCUACACUGGCCCCUCAGGUCUUCUUUGAGCACUGAACAUGGUGUCAAGUGAUGUUUCACAGCAGCAUGCUAAAGUGAAGACGUAGCUGGGAAAGAAGCAGAAUGCCAGAAAAACGUGAACCAGAUGUGCUGAACACAAAAUACCACAGCAGGGAUUUCCCUCACAGCAAUCAUGGAACUCCAGAGAUUCAUCGUAUCAUCUAGACCUAUAGGACUGGACACUCCUGUUCAUCUGUUCCAGCCCAGAAACUGAGCCUAUGCCGAAUAGCGGGACUGAAACCCCUGCAAACCAAACGUAAAGAACUGUUUCAAACUCAGCUGACCAUCUCCAUCGUGGUCAGAAAUUGUUAGCAAAGACCCUGAAUUCACUACCGAGAAGGAAAAAACCUCUGUUCCUGAGACAAGUGAAACAACAGAGACUGUUACACAGUUAGAUGUCAAAAUUAUGUUUAAACUAUUUUUCUAUGUGUAUUGUUUAAUACCACCAGUAACUAUGAAUUGGGUUUAGAAGCAAAAUUUAGAUUUGGCUUUAGUAAAAUGCACCCAAUAUUCUUCAUGAAAGUGAGUGCUAGAUUUGCACUAUGAAUUCGGCUGAAAUUUGGCAACAAGUUUAAGUUCUACAUUGGGCAACUCCUGAGGAUGUCUCAUUAGGUUUACAGAGAUACCUUCUGUAAACUUAUUUCACGGUUACCAAAUCUGAACCUGGAUAAAACAGCUAUUAAUUAGUUGUAUAUUGUGUUAGAUCCCCAUAGUAGCUUGUUGUAUGAUUAGUGUUGCAAGUAUUAGUAAUCUUACCAGUAUGAUGUUAAUUAUAAGUGGCAGAGGCUUGACAAGAUUGAGGUCUUGUCAAACCUCUAAAAGGGGACACUGAUGCCUAUAGAUUUUUUGAUUUUUAGCUUUUUGUAGAUUUUAGAAGUAGCUGUAUUAUAUCCCUUACCCUUAGCACAGUAGUUUACACAUUUACCCAACACGGUCACCACAUUUUUGCAGCUGCUUGCUUAAUGCAGUGACCAGGGCUGAAGAAUCAGACUGGAACUGAGGCCCUUAACCAAUCCUGAAGUUCAUGGGAUGGAGCAGGGCUCUGCAGACAGCCAUGUAUCCAAGUCUUUUGCUCAGUAAUGUUAAUGGCAACUGAACUUCCCCAUUUUUUCUUCUGCAUUAAAUCCACAUCCAGACAUAAAAAACAGUAAGAAUAUCAAUAACAGCUGCAGAGUGACUACAGUUCCUACUGUGAUUUGACCCAAUGAAUUAUAAGGUGAGGCAGUGGUGGCACCUAUGCUUCCAUGUAAAUCUUCUCAGUCACUCAUCAUUUGUGAAGAGGUAUUUAUCAUUAUUGCCUCUCAGACUUUGGUUUCUUUUUAAAUGGCAUGAAUAGUGUGAACACAAAGAGUACAAAAAAUAUCAAAAUUUGUAGGGGAUUGCCAGCAAAAGUCAUAGUUUGACUCAAUGCAUUAAACUCUUAAACAUAUAAAGUUAAAGCAUUAUUUUACAAAUUUUUGCAGAGACAUUGAGAGCUUCUGCUUAGUGGCUUCAUUCUACAUUCUUUUACUUUCACUUCUUAAUUAUGUUUAUACUGGGCCUGAGCCUUGCCCCAUAAAACCUGCCACAGACUUGGAUGGUUAUUCUAUCUUUUGACAAAAUAUUGGACUUGGCUGCGAGCUCUCAUGCAUCUGCCAUUUGACCUCUGUGAAUUAUAGCUGGAUUAGAUAUGCCAGGUCUUAUUAGCUUAAUGGUAGCUGCAUUAGAGACGUCUGCACUCAAGUACACAGAUUUCUUUUAUUGUUCAUGGCUUAAAUUCUGUUGAAACUUCUCAAGAUUGCUCUUAGCACCAAGACUAAACUUUAAGCAAAACUGGUGAAAAGACACUGAGAUGGACUAGUUAGUCUGUAGUAGAGUGUCCUCAGACCACAGUUUUCAUAUCUUCAAUAGGACGAAAUUUUCUAAGGUUAAAAGGACAAUUUUUAGCACAUUUUAGAAAUCUGCUAUAACCGUAUGCAUUUGUAUCAUACAAAUUUCUAAACUUAGUUCUGGUUAUAUCACUAUAAUAAAGCCUAAACAUGUUUCUGAAUUGGUGUUGAAAAUACCUGAUUUAGACUAAUGUAAUUGCUGUGGCCAAUGCUUGUUUAUGAAGAAAAGAGAAAAAGCAUUGCUGCGGACUGUGAAUCAGUGACUAAUCAAUGCUGAGAGGUUUGAUAGGGGGUUGACAUGGCUCUGAUAGACUGGCAAGAAUAAUUCAGAUAGAUGAUGUAGCAGUGUAGUCUUGCAGCAUGGAUGGAUGGGAAUACAUCAAAUUCUGAUUCUCUGAAAUCACUGGCAAAAUUCCCACUGAAUUAAGUAGAACCAGAACUUCAGCCUGCAUAUUAAUGUGUACACUUAUGGGGGGGGGGGGGAGGGAAGAUGUAUUAAAUUUACAAUUCUAGCUCACAGAAUUUGGGCAAAUCAAAAGUCAUAAUCCUGUGCAACUUUUGCUCUGUUUUUUUUAUGCAAACACCCUCUGACACAGUCUCUGCUAACACUGCUGCACAAUAUUAUUUCUGUGGUAUCUCUAUCUGGCUUGAAGGGAAGAGAUUCACAGGUACAGGCUAUAAUAAUAACUACAAGGUUUAAAAAAUAUUUGUAGUAGAAACAGUCAGCUUAGAACCAAAUUAUAAGGGUUGCUGGAUAACAUAUGAUUCUCCAAGUCACAAAAACAUCUUUCAGUUGUCUUCAGAAAACACCUCUGAAACCAAAUCCACAUUCCAACAAGUCUGGCUUGAUUUCAAGCCUCAAGGCAACACUUCUAGUGCCUCUCUUGUGUCCCUUUUCUCCAAUCCUUGACUUCACAGAUAACCUAUAAGGGAGCCUUAAGCAGAAGCUGAGAGUAGGCUAAGAGGAGCCUGGGAAACACAGAGAAGGGCAUGGUCUGAGAGGGCAGACUAUGCAGAAAGGAAAUGAGACAUUUCUUAAGCUGAUCUGGUUCUCCAAGCACUUUCCUCACUGCCAGGGGACACCAGCUGUGGCAGCCUCCACAGCCCUCACCUUGUGCUCCUCAACAGUCAAGAUGUGCUUUGCUGGACCACUAGGGCUGGAAAUAGCUUUUUCCUUUGUAGGCAAAAAAGCUGUGCUUGCUUUUCCUUCUUUGAUUUGAAAUAAAUAGCAUUUUAAUGUUGCAUACUAAUAAAACAAUGUAGAAAAAAACAUGCUUGCAGAUGCUGAGAUGUGCCGACCAUUCUAUUAACUUUUUUGCACUUUUCCUGCAGAAGUUGUUUCUGUCAAUUUAUUUUCAUUUCAGCUGAGCAAAAUGGGAAGGAAAAAGCAGGUUGACACAGAUGGUUGUCAGCCAAGUGAUGACUGCAGCCGAGAAUGAAUGAACAAAAAUAUACAGUUUGCUAAACUGUGUAUUGUUUAGCUUCCCUGUGUAUCAAAUGUCAAAAGAAAUAAAAUUUGCAGAAUAUA